rnacentral:rRNA from 1 species
GAUGAACGCUAGCGGCAGGCCUAAUACAUGCAAGUCGAACGAGAUUAAGAGGCUUGCUUCUUAUGAAAGUGGCGCACGGGUGCGUAACGCGUAUGCAACCUACCUUAAUCAGGGGGAUAGCCCGAAGAAAUUCGGAUUAAGACCGCAUAAAAACACAGGAUAGCAUUAUCCACUGUUCAAAUAUUUAUAGGAUUAAGAUGGGCAUGCGUGUCAUUAGCUAGUUGGCGGGGUAACGGCCCACCAAGGCGACGAUGACUAGGGGAUCUGAGAGGAUGACCCCCCACACUGGUACUGAGACACGGACCAGACUCCUACGGGAGGCAGCAGUAAGGAAUAUUGGUCAAUGGAGGGAACUCUGAGCCAGCCAUGCCGCGUGCAGGAAGACAGCCCUCGGGGUCGUAAACUGCUUUUAUUCGGGAAUAAACCUUUCUACGUGUAGGAAGCUGAAUGUACCGAAGGAAUAAGGAUCGGCUAACUCCGUG